CAGCCGCCACGGUAAUACGUAGGUCCCGAGCGUUGUCCGGAUUUAUUGGGCGUAAAGGGAGCGCAGGCGGUUUAGUAAGUCUGAAGUUAAAGGCAUUGGCUCAACCAAUGUAUGCUUUGGAAACUGUUAGACUUGAGUGCAGAAGGGGAGAGUGGAAUUCCAGGUGUAGCGGUGAAAUGCGUAGAUAUAUGGAGGAACACCGGUGGCGAAAGCGGCUCUCUGGUCUGUAACUGACGCUGAGGAGCGAAAGCGUGGGGAGCGAACAGGAUUAGAUACCCCUGUAGUCCCUGUCUCUUAUACA
rnacentral:rRNA from 1 species